rnacentral:lncRNA from 10 species
CUGUACAGAUGUGCCCUGCUGAUACCCUGGGCCUCAGCAGAACCUCGAGCCUCUCUCUCUCUGCCUGCCUUUCCCUCAGGUUCUGCAUCUGUACUAGGCUUCCUGUGCCAACGAGAAUAUAUAAAACCAUCCUCCCCAAACACAAGCUGACACUGGGGGCUAAACCUGCCUGACAGUCCCAAGGAGCCUGGUGACCUGGGAGGAGCUCCUCAGAUGCAGGGACCAUUGCAGGCUGCGGCGCCCGUCCCAGGUGCAUCCUGGGCUACCCUGGGAAGGGCUGGGGAACAGCAAGAGCCAGAUCUGUGGUAAGGACACUCAUUUUAGAGACGUGAUGGAUUCAUUUAAUAUCUUUUCGCUACAAUUGCUUUGCAGUGCCUGCUCUUAAUGGCCUCCAAAGUUCCAUCCAAAUAUCUUUUGCUGGCAGUUUAGCUCUCUGGCUGGCAUUUUUGCUGGCAGAACUAACAGCUGGAUGCCUCCUUGAAUGGGAAACUUUCAUUGUCUUGUCUUCUCUCUUCUGAGUUUCCAGUGACUGCCCCAGGUCUGAGGCUGGAGCAGGGCUCUGACUGUGACACCCCUGCGUGGAGCCCAGUGGCUGACUUUCAGGAAGGACAGGAGAGGAAAUUGAGACCCAGAGACAUGAAGUAACUUGCCCGAGUCACCAGGAAGAGGCAGCACCGGGCCUGAGGCUCAUGCUGCUGACUUCAUGUUAACCAACCACCAUCCUGCCUCUUCCCGCCCUGGUCUAUCUCCCCGAGCCUUCACCUCCUCCUGCAACUGCAGAUAGAAGCUGCUUCUUCCUUUGUUUGUCAUUCUCAACUUAUCUUUUUUGUCCAUCUUUAUAAAGUUCUAUGUUAAGAACCGUU